rnacentral:lncRNA from 1 species
AUUACACAGUGUUAGUUACAGUUCCCAUCAUCCAUAUGUUGUUUAUAGUAACACGUCUAUAAUAUAUGAAAUAUGAUUAUUACAAUAAUAAAUAUUACAAUACUUUCCAUGUAAAGUAAAGUAGACCCAUAUACAUUGUUUUAGACGUCACUUCGAUGGCGAGUAUUACCUGGCGCUGAACGAAGGCUCCGCCUACAAGGCGGGGUCAAGCGCUCUUAUUGGACCACGACUAUCUCGCUCAUUUAAAUAUCCCCGCGACACUCGUCUGGUUUGAGACGCGCUUUUAAGAGAAUCGGUCUUUAUCACAAAGAACCCUCGUCACGGUGCUUCCAGACAGACUGUUGAUGUCAGAUGAGGACAACAAGUGUUUAGCGACCUUCAUUUAGGAAGAUGAACAUUUGUCUUCUGUUUUGGAUCCUGCUCCCAGCAGCAGAAUGCGGUUCCCAUUCUCUUGAGUUCUUGUCUACAGGACGUGUUCAGCCUGGAUCUGGGCCCCAUUUUGAACAAGUUACAGAGUUUGAUGGAGUUGUGAUCUCUCACUGUGACAGUGGGACACAACAAGAACACUUCAAACCCGUCCUGGAAUCCCACAACUUACCUGGGACCUGCAGACCAGCAUGUUAUGAUGUUUUUGAUGCUCUCAAAGCGAUUUCUAAAUUCAUCAAUCACACACGGAAUGUUCAGCGGCGGCGUGGCUGCAUCACGUCAGACGAGAGGCUUGAAUCUGCUUUUGACAACUGGGCAGUGAAUGGAGAGGGUUUCAUUCAGUUUGAUGCUGGAGCUCAGAAAUGGAAAGUCCUGUCUCCUUCUGCAGAAAUGAUUAAAGAUUUGUGGAACAGCUAUGAGGCUCAGAACCAUGUGUUUGGACACUUCAUCAAUGAAGAAUGUCCAAAAAUGAUCCAUCAGAUCAAAUUAAGAGAAGCGGAAAAAAGAACAGAUCUCCGUGUGUUUGCCAACCCUGUUGAUUUAACCAGGGCAUUGCUGAAGUGCCACGUCACAAGUACUGACAAAUCAGUGCGUUCAGUGUCUCUGACUGAAGACGGGGCCACCAAGGCAAACUGGAUCACUGUAACUGGCCCGUUGCCUUCUGGGGAUGGAUCAGUGAUCCUCAUCCUGACAGCUGAGGUCCCCCUGAUCCACACCAACAUCUAUGGCUGUGUUGUCCAAACAGAAGACAGAACCAUCACUGUCAUGUGGGGUGAGAACUUUACAUUUACAUACUGCUGCAUGAUUGUUAUUGAGUCGUGAUCCAGGCUGCACACAGGCCAGUGGGAUCUUAUUGUUGCUGGGGGGGUUCUGGUGUGUUGGGUACUCUGGUAAAAGUCCCUCAUGAAGAAGCUCUGAAACGUUCCUGGUGAUUCUCUGGUCUUCCUCCGUCUGAAAGCAGACCUUUUGGAUCUUUUCUGGCUGAGAUUACAGCAGUGUUGGUCAUUAACUCUGUCAGAAACGGCUGUUUCGAUGCUGUUGAAACUUAUUUGAGACUUAUUUUUUUGUCUCUCCACAAGGUUUUUUUUGGCCCAUUUAAUUAACAGAACAUCCAGAAAGAAACGAGCUACUACAGAGUUACAAUUUGGUACAGGCAGUGGAAUGCACAGAAUCACCCUCUGCCAGCAGGGGGCGCUGCAGCAGCUCAGCACCCACCUUUCUAUCGUCUUGGCACAGAAUUAUCAGUGCGCAACGUUGAGCUUCAGUCUGUGUCCAGGCCUCAGACAACUGUCGGCAUUUCACGUUGGUCCAGACAGUUAAUAAAUGUAACAGUUGAAAUACUCUAAAUAGAGUCAGUCACACUUUCUGUUAUUCGGAGCACAGCUUUCAAAAUAUUAAAAAUAAGUUUAUUACAAUAACACAUAUGACGACAUGCUGCAUAGAGUAAAGUAUGGCCAGUUUGGUGAUUACAAUAAUCAUGUUUUUGUUGUUUAUACUCUUUUAUGAGCAGAUGGAAACACACUUGAUGGACGACACAUCCUUUACAUCCAGAUGACGUUUUGGAGAAUUAUCGGCAUCAUCUUUACAGUUUGUUGUUUAAUCUCCGUAAUGACUCUUUUGUGUAAGUCUCACUUCUUUGAUAGUAACUUUCAAGUCAGUCUGUGAGCUGAUAUUUUACUAUUGUGGCCCUGCAUUAAUAGAAUGUUAAUGAUGUUUCUUGUGAAAUACACCUGUCAGCAUCUAUUAAUUGUUUCCUUCAUUUUAUUUCUUCAUAGUCACAAGAGAGGAAAAAGUGGUGAAGGAAACUUAACUCAUGAGUCCAUUGAAGAAUAACUGGGGGAAGAUGGAUUUUAUCCACGGAGGACUUGAGGCAGAGACGACAUCAAUGAUCCAGGAUGUUUUACUCUUCAUGCUGAAAGUGCACGUCUAUAAAGUCACAUGUGCUGUAAUAUUUGGACUGUGUUGUCAUCCAGUAGCAGAGCUUUGGGACUUAUGCUACUGACACGGUCUAACCUUCACUGACUGUCAUCUUUUUUAAGAAGCCAAGAAGGCCAAACUAUGGAAAACUUUAGCAUUUUGACGCUAAAUUCAGUGUUAAUGAUCUUGAGCUUCUUAAUCAGAGCUUAACACUCAUCUUUCAAAACUGCCGUUAAACACCUCGUAAUGCUGUCACGUUUAUGUCUGGUUUCAUUUAUUUUUGUGUUAUUUACUCAUUCAUCUCUCCUCUAUUUUGUUUGCGUCAUUAUUUAUUUUAUGUAAAACACUGGUUAACGACUGGGCAUUAUAAAAAUCUUAUGUUGUUGAAUGUAUGAUGACUUUAUUUCUGUUUCUGAAAGACUCUGAGUUGUUCUUUUAAUAAUUUAACAAAUUCAUGUGAAAACUGGUCCACUUAUAUUCUAUUGAAAAUGAUAAAUUGUUUAACAGUGUUUGGGGAAAAUAAUUUGCAGAACUUGAUAUGUGAAAUCAUUAAUAAUGGAAAAAAAAAAAGAAACUCUUAAAUGUUUGUAAAUAUUGUAUGUUUUUACUUCCUGCAAUAAAUGAAUUUUAUUUUUGUUAAGAGCCUGUGUGAUAAUGUUCAUUUUCAUUACAUGAGGAAAUGUCUGAUUAGAUGAGGUGGUUA